rnacentral:lncRNA from 1 species
GAUGCCUGAUCCUUGUUGCAAAGAUAGAUGCGAGUGCGCUGAGGGAGGCUGCAAGACAGGUUGCCAGUGCAAGAGCUGUCGCUGCGCACCAUGUGAAAAGUGUACUUCGGGAUGCUCUUGCCCCUCAAAGGAAGACUGUGCCAAGACCUGCCAAAAGCCAUGCAAGUGCUGCCCCUAGGCUGACGACUUCAUGACCAUCCGCAUGACAGUUUCUCCUGCGCGGUAGAAGGAAGAAGAGUUGGGGAGAGGGGGGAGGGGAGGGAGGUGAAGAUUGGGACCAGCCAUGUAGCUGAUUUUAUUGAUUGUAAAAAGGUCUUGAUUCGUUAAGCCUUUAUUCCUUUUGUCUGAAUUAUUUUUCUAAACGUCGAUUGUGAUUUAUUAUGUGAUUCGUUU